GUGUCGUGAUGAAACCCAUGCGUGUCAGCUGACUCUGCAGCUUCCUGCAGAGCCGCGGCUCCGGUCGGCGUUCUGUCGGCCUGGGCCUGCGGUUCGGCAGAGGCCCAGAGACGUGAUCAUCCUGUCUUCCUGAACGC
ensembl:snoRNA small nucleolar RNA, C/D box 10